rnacentral:rRNA from 1 species
GCCUACCAAGGCUACGACGGGUAGCUGGUCUGAGAGGACGACCAGCCACACUGGGACUGAGACACGGCCCAGACUCCUACGGGAGGCAGCAGUGGGGAAUCUUGCGCAAUGGGCGAAAGCCUGACGCAGCAACGCCGCGUGAGGGAUGAAGGUCUUCGGGUUGUAAACCUCUUUCGAGCAGGGACGAUUGUGACGGUACCUGCAGAAGAAGCUCCGGCCAACUACGUGCCAGCAGCCGCGGUGAUACGUAGGGAGCGAGCGUUGUCCGGAUUUAUUGGGCGUAAAGAGCUCGUAGGCGGCUCAGUAAGUCAGGUGUGAAAUCCUCAGGCUCAACCUGGGGCUGCCAUCUGAUACUGCUGUGGCUAGAGCCCGGUAGGGGUCCACGGAAUUCCUGGUGUAGCGGUGAAAUGCGCAGAUAUCAGGAGGAACACCAGUGGCGAAGGCGGUGGACUGGGCCGGUACUGACGCUGAGGAGCGAAAGCGUGGGGAGCGAACAGGAUUAGAUACCCUGGUAGUCCACGCCGUAAACGUUGGGCACUAGGUGUGGGACCUUGUCAACGGGUUCCGUGCCGUAGCUAACGCA